UUCUUCUACUUUCUUAUAGAAAUUUAAUGAUCUUACUAAGUCUCUCUAAAUUGGUGCAUUUCAAAGGGCGGUUUAAUUAUAGUUCCAAUUCUAUUUUAACUUGGAAUUAAUUGAACCUAAAGAUAUGGUUAGGUCUGAAUUUAUACUUUUCCUUUCAGAUGCAAUCAAGAAGCCACUUCAACUCCUACAAGUCGACAACUUGAUUAGCAAUUAGCCAAAUUUUGGAUCGAAUUCGUUUCAGUCCGACCCAAAACCCGCGUAGUGCUCAAAGAACGGGGGCAAAACAUGAGAAAUGAGUCCUCCCAUUAGGCGUACGGCAAUUAAUAAUGAUUGCCGUCAACAACCUGAGAGACGAGCCAAUAAAAAUCAGUUAUAAAACCAUUAAGUCGAUACACAAGCGGACAUACGAGUGAGUAGAAGAUACAUUGCUGAUACAGCUACUGUCCGGGCUAUAAAUAGCCCCAGAAAAACCGCAACGAACCGAAUCGAAAACCAAACCCGAGACCGAAGCCUUAAUUGUCUAACGCCCGUGUAUCAAUCAGAUGGAAUAAGGGGCUCCCUAUCUCCCCAUUCUCAAGUUUCGCACAAGUGUUCAAAGGAGAAAAUGGUAUCGUAUAAGACUCGCUCGAUUGUAAAUUUCCAAAAUAUAUGAUGAGAACGUCAACAUUUCACAUGGUUUAUCUCUACUUCAGUCUGUGAUUUCUUUAUUAAUUGACCAAUUGCCGGAUCUUAGUCAUCCAUCUACGUGAGGAGCCCAACGAUGUCGGACAAUCAUCCAAGCAAAUUCCCCGAAAAUUCUCUGCGUCACUAUAUUAAAAUCAAGCUACGCCUGCGCUGAGCCUCUCUCUCGCUCUCUUGGUUUUUGCAGACCCAAGAGGAGCUCUCAAAAAAGACAGCGCUGUUGGGCCUGCCAAUGAUAAACUCUCUCGCCGCUCCCUCGGUUUGACUAUCUUAUAGAUACUUGGAUACACUCGUACUUUGUUUUGUUUGCCUAAUCAGUUUCUCGUGUCGGCGUCGCUUUGUGUACAGCGCCACCAUUAAAGCCAUCGAAUCAAGUUCAUUUCGCAUACGAUUCUCCAUUAAGUUCCCUAUGAAUAAUUGGCAACAGGUGGCGAUUACCCCAAAAACGUCUUCGAGGUCUUCUUUUUCGUGUGGGGGAAGGGAGCUAAUGGCAAAAGGUAAAGGCCAAGGAAUCGUGAAAUCAUGGAACUUUAUACGCAUUACUCCUACGACAGAUCAAAGAACGAAGAAUUUUCCAAUAAAUAAAGCAUACCAUUAUUAUUAAAAAACUUUGGCUAUUGGUACCAGAAGAUGCAUCUGUCCACCGACACACAGAGUAGACUUCGCAGGUAAGAUGACGAGACAACCAAUAAAUUCUGAAGUA